rnacentral:rRNA from 1 species
CAGCUGCGAGACUUGGUGUGAAUUGCAGGACACAUUGAGCACUGAUUUUUCGAACGCGCAUUGCGGCCUCGGGUCUCGCCCGGGGCCUCGCCUGUCUGAGGGUCGGAUGAGACGUACCGAGAGGUGAACUUCCUCCCGCUUUCCGUUCCGAGUUUCGGAAGCGGCGGGGUCGGAACCUCACGUGGCCGCUUCGGAGCGCUCGUCGCUCCGUCGGCUCCAGUCUUGGUUCGUUGUUGACUGGGAAGACCUCCCGGCUCGGCGCGAUCCGUCUCGACGUGGCCGCGGGAAAGGCGACUGAAACGCUACACCGCCUGGUCACCGUCCGAGACGCCGUGACGGAGUUCUCCUCCUUUCUGUCGACCUCAGAUCAGACGAGACGACCCGCUGAAUU